UACGAGGGGUGCAAGCGUUAUUCGGAUUUAUUGGGCGUAAAGGGUGCGUAGGCGGCAUAUUAAGUCAGCUGUUAAAUUUCCUGGCCUAACCGGGAGCAUGCGGCAGAUACUGAUAUGCUAGAGGGUGGAAGAGAGAAGUGGAAUUCUCGGAGUAGCGGUAAAAUGCGUAGAUCUCGAGAGGAACACCGAUGGCGAAGGCAGCUUCUUGGUCCACAUCUGACGCUGAGUGCACGAAAGCGUGGGGAGCAAACAGG
rnacentral:rRNA from 1 species